GCCGGCGACCGGCGCACGGGUGAGUAACACGUAUGCGACCUGCCCCCGCAGGGGAUAACCGGGAGAAAUCCCGACUAAUACCGCGUAACGCCGCGGACCUGCAUGGGUCUGCGGCCAAAGGAAGCGAUUCCGGCGGGGAUGGGCAUGCGGCGCAUUAGCUAGUCGGCGGGGUAACGGCCCACCGAGGCGACGAUGCGUAGGGGUUCUGAGAGGAAGGUCCCCCACACUGGUACUGAGACACGGACCAGACUCCUACGGAAGGCAGCAG
rnacentral:rRNA from 1 species